rnacentral:rRNA from 1 species
GUUGAUCCUGCGGGAGAUUGCUGCUAUUAGGGUUCGACUAAGCCAUGCAAGUCAGGGAGCUUCGGCUACCGGCUAAAUGCUCAGUAACACGUCGAUAACCUGCCCUUAAGUCUGGGACAACCUUGGGAAACUGAGGCUAAACCCGGAUAGGAAAAAUACUCUGGAAUGAGUUUUUUCCAAAAGGUAACGCUUAAGGAUGGGUCGGGCGCGGAUUAGGCUGUUGGCGGGGUAAUGGCCCACCAAACCUGAGAUCCGUAGGGGCCUUGAGAGAGGUAGCCCCGAGAAGGGCACUGAGAUACUGGCCCUAGCCCUACGGGGUGCAGCAGGCGCGAAACCUUUACAAUGCACGAAAGUGUGAUAAGGGAACCCUAAGUGCUUUGCUUUGCAAAGCUUUUGCCAAGCGUAAAAAGCUUGGAGAAUAAGUGGUGGGAAAGACUGGUGCCAGCCGCCGCGGUAACACCAGCGCCACUAGUGGCAAUCGGUAUUAUUGGGCCUAAAGCGUCCGUAGCUGGUUGAGUAAAUCUCUUGUGAAAUCGUUAAGCUUAACUUAACGGCUUGCAGGAGAGACUGUUCAACUAGGGACCGGGAGGAGUCAGAGGUAUGCUGGGGGGAGCGGUAAAAUGCUAUAAUCCUCGGUAGACCACCUGUGGCGAAGGCGUCUGACUAAAACGGGUCCGACAGUGAGGGACGAAAGCCAGGGGAGCAAACCGGAUUAGAUACCCGAGUAGUCCUGGCUGUAAACGCUGCGAGCUAGGUGUUGCAUAUUCUUCGUGAAUGUGCAGUGUCGAAGCGAAGGUAUUAAGCUCGCCGCCUGGGAAUUAUGGUCGCAAGACUGAAACUUAAAGGAAUUGGCGGGGGAGCACUACAAGGGUGCGGCGUGCGGUUUAAUCUAACUCCACAGAGAAUCUCACCAGAAGCGACGGCAGGAUGAAGGUCAGUUUGAAGGGCUUACCUGACGAGCCGAGAGGUAGUGCAUGGCCGCCGUCAGCUCGUGCUGUAAAGUGUCCUGUUAAGUCAGGCAACGAGCGAGACCUGUAUCCACAAUUGCUAACGACUCAUUUUGAGAAUCGAGCACAUUGUGGGGACUGCCUUGGAAACAAGGAGGAAGGUGCAGGCAACGGUAGGUCUGUAUGCUCCGAAUCUUCUGGGCUACACGCGCGCAACAAUGGUAUAGACAAUGGGCUGCAACUCCGAAAGGAGAAGCUAAACCUCGAAACUAUAUCUUAGUUCAGAUUGAGGGCUGUAAUUCGCCCUCAUGACGCUGGAAUCCCUAGUAAUCGAAUAUCAUCAGUGUUCGGUGAAUAUGUCCCUGCUCCUUGCACACACCGCCCGUCAAACCACCCGAGUAGGGUCUAGAUGAGGCUUAAUUUUUAAUUAAGUCGAAUCUAAGCUUUGCGAGGAGGGUUAAGUCGUCACAAGGUA